rnacentral:rRNA from 1 species
AACGAACGCUGGCGGCAGGCCUAACACAUGCAAGUCGAGCGCCCGGAUUUAUCCGGGAGCGGCGCACGGGAGAGUAAUGCGUGGGAACAUGCCCUGAAGUACGGAACAACCUGGGGAAACCUUGGCUAAUACCGUAUACGCCCUGCGGGGGAAAGAUUUAUCGCUUUGGGUUUGGCCCGCGUUGGAGUAGCUGGUUGGUGUGGUAACGGCGCACCAAGGCGACGGUCCAUAACUGGUCUGAGAGGAUUACCAGUCACACUGGGACUGAGACACGGCCCAGACUCCUACGGGAGGCAGCAGUGGGGAAUAUUGGACAAUGCUCGGAAGCCUGAUCCAGCCAUGCCGCGUGAGUGAAGGAGGCCUUCGGGUUGUAAAGCUCUUUCAUCGGGGACGUUGAUGACGGUACCCGCAGAAGAAGCCCCGGCUAACUUCGUGCCAGCCGCCGCAGUAA